GCUAAUUAUUUAUUAACUAAAAAUUAUUAUUUUAUUAAAUUAAUUUCUAAAAAUAGUUAAAUUAAAUUAAAAAAUAAAGUUCAAAUUAAAAUAGCUUAAAAAAAAUUAAAAAGAUUUAUUUAACUCUGUCCGGAAACUAUUUGAACCUUAUUCUAACCAACGGCACUAACCUGAAAAAAAGAAAGAAAACGGUACGGGCUGGCAUUGCCAUACAAGUUAAAACGACAAGUCGUCAUCACGAAAAUUCGUUCGAGGGACGUGUCUACUCUUCGCCUCUUGGAAAAGCUUCAACUUUUAUUUUUAGCAGCCACAGUUUCUACAUACUCACAGUCACAUCAGAGUGGUUCUUUUCACUCUCUCUCUCUCUCUCUCUCUCUCUCUCUCUCUCUCUCAAUGGCUGCAUUAGACUCUGGAACAACUUCUUAUGCAACUAUACUCUCACCAUUUUUAUAGAGCUGCCACAGAAACUGAGUGGAUUUUUGGGCUCAUUUAGAUGGCUUCAAAUGCUCACAUCUUAAAAGGUGAAAACUUUGUCAAGAUCUUAGAUUCAUAAUAGAGAUAUUUACUAGCAGGGAAAAGAAUAUCUUGCCCCACCUUUUCUAGUUGAACCCAGUGUAAAGCUAAAAAUUACAUUUAUUGUUCUACACUUUAACAGUUUAUUUACAUGCACAAAUGAAUUAAAGUACAUAAAUGCAUAACUGUUUUAUGAAACAAACACACAAGAACUUGAUUGCAUCUCCAUUUUCUAGAACUUGGCAAAGUUGCUGGUUAUGUAGAGCAUGUUAGUAAAGAUAGCUAUGCUCAGUAGAUGGUAAACCAAGAAAUCUUUAUUUGAAUACCUUGGAAUUUAUUGAUACUCCAGAUCCACAAUUUUGUGCACAGGGGUUUUAAUGGGAUUUUAAUGAUUAUUUCAAAUCUUCCUUCACAAAUCCAAGCAAUUACCUUGUUUCGGUUUCAAUGUGAUCAGCAACAGUUCCUUUUUCUAGGCUUUUGUUUUAAAGGCCAUGAUUGGUCAUUCUCCUUAUAUAAGGAAAUCUUGUUGUUCAACACAUCCAUAUAUGCCCCAUCAAGAGCUUUCCAGUUGAAAUCCCAAACUGCAUUCAUUUAUAUCGUAUGUAUAUUUUGCAGACAUAAUUUAAUUGCAAUCAUAGUCUUUGAUCUCUCUUUGUGAUUGUUAACUCAUACAUUUAAGAAUGUUUGCAGUUUGCCUCCAGUCAUAAUCAUUUUUCAUCCUAGUCCAAUGGGCUUGCAUAACAAUAGGCUACAUAUAUGUUGUCAUUUAACUACUCAAUGAUAUUAGGACCUUUUUGCCUUAAUCACUAGAUUUUGUUUCCCAAUCCGGCGCCUUUUUCAAGGUUGCUAAUAGUUAUGUUUAUUUAUAUUUGUAUUUUUUGCUUCUGUUAGGAGUCCGAUCUGAUCAGACAGAUUUAUUCCAAGGGUAAUUUUGAUACUUCUCAUGCUAUUUGGUGGUUGGCUUCGUUCAUGAUGUUUUCUAAAGGCUUUGGUUAAGAACAUUUUUACAUUAUCUUUGAUAAAAGAUGGGAACCGGCUACCAAAUUGCUUGUGGCUGGCUGAUGCCACAAAAGUCUGUUUAUUUAUUUUCACUUUGUGGGCUAAACUUGAAUCACUUCCUUCUACUGAGAGAGUGUCAGUUCAUUACAAAGGUUGGUGGUCCAAAUUUGGAACAUGAAACCUCAGAAGGUAGUUUCUUUUGUGUCAUAUCUCUCUUUCAUAUGCCAACAUCUUGCUGCACCACGGUUAUCAAUUGCUUGCGAGAUCAUUAUAUCUAAAGAUAAUUCUCAAAAUGGAGUUUAUUUAUAGGAAAUGCUUAUAAUGCUCCCAUAUCUGGACUUAUAUCCAGCUCUAUGUGGAUUGUGGUGUAAUUAAAUUAGUAAAAGGGACCACCUGUGCUGCAGUGGCCUGCUUUAUCGUAUAAGGUCCACACGAGGUGAAUGAUGGGACCUACAAUAUUCCUUCAUCAUGUCAUGCAGGAGUUAAAUGGGGCCUACAUGAUAGGGUGUAGAACAAGUGGAAGUGCUAAUUCCUGCCAAAACUAUUCCUACUGUCAUUUAGUUUUAGAACAGAAUAAAUGUAACCUUAUUCCUUGCAUGUUUCAUUGCAACAGAGAAUGUAAAUUUCUACAAAUAUUUCACGGUCUAGGCAUUGCAAUUUAGGUUCUUUGAUCUAAAUGCAGCACUUUUAUAUGCAACCUGGAAGAUCAGGCCUAGGUCUUUUUCCUGCUAACUGUUCUGUUCUUCAGUUACAGCACUAGGUAGUAAGAUGUUGUUCUAAAGUAUUCUAUCAGGAAAUUAUUCAAGACAGAAAACAUUUGUUUUAUCAUUUUCUUAUGCACUUGACUUGUAUUAUCAUGUGAUCUAAUAUUUUUCUCCUCCAAAUUAGUGGAAAAGCAACGGCCUUAUUCUUUCAACUGCUACUUCAAGAGUUAAGAGAUGUAUUGUUGAUUAACAUUAUCUUUCCCACUAUUGAUUUGAAUGGCGUGCAAAUCUUCUCUCUUCUUUUGGUAACUAGAUCUAUCUAAAUUGUUAUUUUGAUAUUAUAACUCACGAUCGAAAAGAACAAAAAGAAUGAUUUUUGCUGCAAGACUGCGACGUGUCAUUAGCAGUGGCAUAAAUGUUAAUUUACAAAACCUAGGUGUAGGUGUCAUGCUGAACUCGUGAUCAGCAAUCCAUUUUGUCAGUAAGUUCCCACCAAAGUAUGCAUGUCUCAUGCAAGCCUGUUUUAUCUUCCUGUUGCUUAAUUUUCAUCCAGUUCUAGUUGCCUUGGGUUUUCUUAUUGUUUCAUAUCAGAAAUGGCCUUGCCCAUUGUUAAAGGAUUACUCCAACAAUAUGUGCAGUCUCUGUUUGAUGAGGGAAUUGUGAAUGAUCAGUUCCUUAAUAUCCAAACGUUGAAAACUGUGGAAGAACCUGAUCGUGUUAUGCAGUUAAUUAAUACAUACUGCAUUGAUGUGGAAGCAAUCUUAUUGGAACUUACAAGCGACAUGGAUCUUCCUGAAGUUAAUUUCUCAAACAUGGAAGCACUAGCCCGGCAAAUAGAGGAAAAGAGUUUAUAUGUUGGUGCUGGGCAUAUGAGGCUUUCAUGUGUUGGUCUCAUUCAGGCUUGUCGUGAUAUGCAAAAGAGAAGUAUCUCUCGCGAACUCGAUUGGAUGAAGAAUGAAUUUGCUUGUACCCGGAACAAGUUGCAGGUGUUUGUUCAGAGCGGAAGAUUUUGAGACUUGAGAGGAAACAACAAAAGUGAAUUUCCAUAUGCUUUCGUCUUGCUGUUCAGUAGAUUUAACUUGCAUCCUUGCUAAAAGAUUCCUUGUAACUGGGGCGAAAAAAAAGGUGGAUCGGAAUGAAACAGGAAAAAGAAAGAAACUCUCUUUCGUGAUGGCUGCAGGCGGGAUUUAUUUUCAGUGGGUCUUCAAAGGAGUUGUCGGCACUAGGCGGCAGGCUUAUACUUUCUUCCUGGACUAUAUCAGUCAGCAAAGUCGUCUUUAAGUUUCUUGAAAAUGUACUAUCUAAAUUUCAUAACUGUUCAAGAAUCUUGAUUUGGACUGGGUUACUUUUCUUGAUCUCAUUCACGAUCGUCCAAAUUCUGCAACAUCUGACUAAUCUGAUGGGCGGUAUUCCCCAAAAUCACUUAUUUGGGGACAAUUAA